GACGAACGCUGGCGGCGUGCUUAACACAUGCAAGUCGAACGGUAAGGCCCUUCGGGGUACACGAGUGGCGAACGGGUGAGUAACACGUGGGUGAUCUGCCCUGCACUUCGGGAUAAGCCUGGGAAACUGGGUCUAAUACCGGAUAGGACCACUGCCUGCAUGGGGGGUGGUGGAAAGCUUUUGCGGUGUGGGAUGGGCCCGCGGCCUAUCAGCUUGUUGGUGGGGUGAUGGUCUACCCAGGCGACGACGGGUAGCCGGCCUGAGCGGGUGACCGGGAACACUGGGACUGGGAUACGGCCCAGACUCCUACGGGAGGCAGCAGUGGGGAAUAUUGCACAAUGGGCGCAAGCCUGAUGCAGCGACGCCGCGUGAGGGAUGACGGCCUUCGGGUUGUAAACCUCUUUCAGCACCGACGAAGCGCAAGUGACGGUAGGUGCAGAAGAAGGACCGGCCAACUACGUGCCAGCAGCCGCCGUAA
rnacentral:rRNA from 1 species